GGUGACUGCGUACCUUUUGUAUAAUGGGUCAGCGACUUACAUUCAGUAGCAAGGUUAACCGCAUAGGGGAGCCGUAGGGAAACCGAGUCUUAAUAGGGCGUAUAGUUGCUGGGUGUAGACCCGAAACCAGGCGAUCUAUCCAUGAGCAGGUUGAAGGUUGGGUAACACUAACUGGAGGACCGAACCCACUGUCGUUGAAAAGCCAGGGGAUGACUUGUGGAUAGGGGUGAAAGGCUAAUCAAGCCUGGUGAUAGCUGGUUCUCCCCGAAAGCUAUUUAGGUAGCGCCUCGGACGAAUACCAUUGGGGGUAGAGCACUGUUUCGGCUAGGGGGUCAUCCCGACUUACCAAACCGAUGCAAACUCCGAAUACCGAUGAGUACUAUCCGGGAGACAGACUGCGGGUGCUAACGUCCGUAGUCAAGAGGAAAACAAUCCAGACCGCCAGCUAAGGCCCCAAAAUCAUAGUUAAGUGGGAAACGAUGUGGGAAGGCAUAGACAGCUAGGAGGUUGGCUUAGAAGCAGCCACCCUUUAAAGAAAGCGUAAUAGCUCACUAGUCGAGUCGGCCUGCGCGGAAGAUGUAACGGGGCUAAAACUAUGUGCCGAAGCUGCGGAUGUAUACAUUGUAUACGUGGUAGGGGAGCGUUCUGUAAGCCGAUGAAGGUGGAUUGAGAAGUCUGCUGGAGGUAUCAGAAGUGCGAAUGCUGACGUGAGUAACGACAAAACGGGUGAAAAACCCGUUCGCUGAAAGACCAAGGGUUCCAGUCCAACGUUAAUCGGGGCUGGGUGAGUCGACCCCUAAGGCGAGGCCGAGAGGCGUAGUCGAUGGGAAAUUGGUUAAUAUUCCAAUACUUCAGUGUAAUGCGAUGAGAGGACGGAGAAGGUUAAGUCAGCCUGGCGUUGGUUGUCCAGGUGGAAGGCUGUAGGCAUGCAUCUUAGGCAAAUCCGGGGUGCUCUAUGCUGAGAGCUGAUAGCAAGCUAGUUUACUAGCGAAGUGGCUGAUACCAUGCUUCCAGGAAAAGUCUCUAAGCUUCAGUUACACUGGAAUCGUACCCGAAACCGACACAGGUGGUCAGGUCGAGUAGACCAAAGCGCUUGAGAGAACUCUGCUGAAGGAACUAGGCAAAAUGGUACCGUAACUUCGGGAGAAGGUACGCUGUUGACGGUGAUGGGACUUGCUCCCUGAGCGGUUGACAGCCGCAGAAACCAGGCCGCUGCAACUGUUUAUUAAAAACAUAGCACUCUGCAAACACGAAAGUGGACGUAUAGGGUGUGAUGCCUGCCCGGUGCUGGAAGGUUAAUUGAUGGGGUUAGCGUAAGCGAAGCUCUUGAUCGAAGCCCCAGUAAACGGCGGCCGUAACUAUAACGGUCCUAAGGUAGCGAAAUUCCUUGUCGGGUAAGUUCCGACCUGCACGAAUGGCAUAAUGAUGGCGGCGCUGUCUCCAGCAGAGGCUCAGUGAAAUCGAAAUCGCUGUGAAGAUGCAGUGUACCCGCGGCUAGACGGAAAGACCCCGUGAACCUUUACUGCAGCUUGACAUUGAACUUUGACCUUACUUGUGUAGGAUAGGUGGGAGGCUUUGAAGUUGGAACGCCAGUUCCAAUGGAGCCGUCCUUGAAAUACCACCCUGGUAAUGUUGAGGUUCUAACUCUGUCCCGUGAUCCGGGACGAGGACCAUGUCUGGUGGGUAGUUUGACUGGGGCGGUCUCCUCCUAAAGAGUAACGGAGGAGUACGAAGGUGCGCUCAGCGUGGUCGGAAAUCACGCGUAGAGUAUAAAGGCAAAAGCGCGCUUAACUGCGAGACCCACAAGUCGAGCAGGUACGAAAGUAGGUCUUAGUGAUCCGGUGGUUCUGUAUGGAAGGGCCAUCGCUCAACGGAUAAAAGGUACUCUGGGGAUAACAGGCUGAUACCGCCCAAGAGUUCAUAUCGACGGCGGUGUUUGGCACCUCGAUGUCGGCUCAUCUCAUCCUGGGGCUGAAGCAGGUCCCAAGGGUAUGGCUGUUCGCCAUUUAAAGAGGUACGCGAGCUGGGUUUAGAACGUCGUGAGACAGUUCGGUCCCUAUCUACCGUGGGCGCUGGAAAUUUGAGAGGAUCUGCUCCUAGUACGAGAGGACCAGAGUGGACGAACCUCUGGUGUACCGGUUGUGACGCCAGUCGCAUCGCCGGGUAGCUAUGUUCGGAAGGGAUAACCGCUGAAAGCAUCUAAGCGGGAAGCCUACCUCAAGAUAAGAUUUCCCUAGGAAUUUAUUCCUCUAAAGAGCCGUUCGAGACUAGGACGUUGAUAGGUUGGGUGUGGAAG
rnacentral:rRNA from 1 species